AAGUCGUAACAAGGUUUCCGUAGGUGAACCUGCGGAAGGAUCAUUAACACGUAUCCAAACGUUAAACAACCCCGUGAACAUACAACCUGCUCUGGUCGCCCGCUCGCAUGGACAAGCCCAGUAAAUCAAGCCCCGGAAAGUUUUUGAUUUGGGACCUCUGUGCGCGUGAGAAAAACUGACAGCGAUUCAUAGAAGCGGUAGGUCAAGUGACACGGCGUCCCCAAGUGACCAGUGAAUGAAAGUGUCGCUGGAGCGUCAAGGACGACUCUUCAAGAGGUCGACCACCGACCGGCUUCCGUGUCGCUCCCUUCCGAACCCUUUAUUGCCUUGCCUGUAAGCAUCCAUACGGAUGGGCAGGCCCCCCGAACAACUGUUAACAAUGGAUAUCUUGGUUCUC
rnacentral:misc_RNA from 1 species